ensembl:lncRNA
GUCUGGGGUGGAAAGGUAGGUCUACUCUGUCUGGGGUGGAAAGGUAGGUCUACUCUGUCUGGGGUGGAAAGGUAGGUCCUACUCUGUCUGGGAUGGAAAGGUAGGUCUACUCUGUCUGGGGUGGAAAGGUAGGCCUACUCUGUCUGGGGUGGAAAGGUAGGUCUACUCUGUCUGGGGUGGAAAGGUAGGCCCUACUCUGUCUGGGGUGGAAAGGUAGGCCCUACUCUGUCUGGGGUGGAAAGGUAGGCCCUACUCUGUCUGGGGUGGAAAGGUAGGCCCUACUCUGUCUGGGGUGGAAAGUUA